rnacentral:rRNA from 1 species
GGGGAAUUUUGGACAAUGGGCGAAAGCCUGAUCCAGCCAUGCCGCGUGCGGGAAGAAGGCCUUCGGGUUGUAAACCGCUUUUGUCGGGGAAGAAACGUCGCGACCUAAUACGUCGCGGUAAUGACGGUACCUGAAGAAUAAGCACCGGCUAACUACGUGCCAGCAGCCGCGGUAAUACGUAGGGUGCAAGCGUUAAUCGGAAUUACUGGGCGUAAAGCGUGCGCAGGCGGUCAUGCAAGACAGAUGUGAAAUCCCCGAGCUCAACUUGGGAACUGCAUUUGUGACUGCAUGGCUUGAGUGCGGCAGAGGGGGAUGGAAUUCCGCGUGUAGCAGUGAAAUGCGUAGAUAUGCGGAGGAACACCGAUGGCGAAGGCAAUCCCCUGAGCCUGCACUGACGCUCAUGCAGGAAAGCGUGGGGAGCAAAC